rnacentral:rRNA from 1 species
AUUGAACGCUGGCGGCAUGCCUUACACAUGCAAGUCGAACGGUAACGCGGGGCAACCUGGCGACGAGUGGCGAACGGGUGAGUAAUGCAUCGGAACGUGCCCAGUAGUGGGGGAUAGCCCGGCGAAAGCCGGAUUAAUACCGCAUACGACCUACGGGUGAAAGGGGGGGAUCGCAAGACCUCUCGCUAUUGGAGCGGCCGAUGUCAGAUUAGGUAGUUGGUGGGGUAAAGGCCUACCAAGCCUACGAUCUGUAGCUGGUCUGAGAGGACGACCAGCCACACUGGGACUGAGACACGGCCCAGACUCCUACGGGAGGCAGCAGUGGGGAAUUUUGGACAAUGGGCGAAAGCCUGAUCCAGCCAUGCCGCGUGCGGGAAGAAGGCCUUCGGGUUGUAAACCGCUUUUGUCGGGGAAGAAAUCUUCUGGGCUAAUACCUCGGGAGGAUGACGGUACCCGAAGAAUAAGCACCGGCUAACUACGUGCCAGGCGCCGCAGUAA